rnacentral:rRNA from 1 species
AGAGUUUGAUCAUGGUUCAGAUUGAACGCUGGCGGCAUGCCUUACACAUGCAAGUCGAACGGUAACAGGUCUUCGGACGCUGACGGGUGGCGAACGGGUGAGUAAUACAUCGGAACGUGCCCAGUCGUGGGGGAUAACUACUCGAAAGAGUAGCUAAUACCGCAUACGAUCUGAGGAUGAAAGCGGGGGACCUUCGGGCCUCGCGCGAUUGGAGCGGCCGAUGGCAGAUUAGGUAGUUGGUGGGAUAAAAGCUUACCAAGCCGACGAUCUGUAGCUGGUCUGAGAGGACGACCAGCCACACUGGGACUGAGACACGGCCCAGACUCCUACGGGAGGCAGCAGUGGGGAAUUUUGGACAAUGGGCGAAAGCCUGAUCCAGCAAUGCCGCGUGCAGGAUGAAGGCCUUCGGGUUGCAAACUGCUUUUGUACGGAACGAAAAAGCUUCUCCUAAUACGAGAGGCCCAUGACGGUACCGUAAGAAUAAGCACCGGCUAACUACGUGCCAGCAGCCGCGGUAAUACGUAGGGUGCGAGCGUUAAUCGGAAUUACUGGGCGUAAAGCGUGCGCAGGCGGUUAUGUAAGACAGAUGUGAAAUCCCCGGGCUCAACCUGGGAACUGCAUUUGUGACUGCAUGGCUAGAGUACGGUAGAGGGGGAUGGAAUUCCGCGUGUAGCAGUGAAAUGCGUAGAUAUGCGGAGGAACACCGAUGGCGAAGGCAAUCCCCUGGACCUGUACUGACGCUCAUGCACGAAAGCGUGGGGA